rnacentral:lncRNA from 1 species
GCCGCAGACCAUGGACGUUUCCCUGCUAACGUGCACGGUCCGACGAGUGGCCGAGAGAUCAAAUGAGACAUGCGUGUCAUGUCUAGUAGGGAGAAUCAAGCAUGAAUCUCUUCCUCAGUCCUCGACUUCAACUGAGGUCAGGAAACACACCUUCAGCAUCCCCCAGAGUCUUCGUUUCUGAGUGAGCGGAAGAAGGAUGGGAACAGUCCUGUACCCCUGGAGCCAUCAGGAGGAUCAGGUAAAAUGUCACUUGGAAAAAACUAGCUUUAACGGGACAUGUUGGGAUAUAUAACCAGUCUAUCUGUG